AAAAAUAACAGAAGUAAUGAAAUCAGAAGUUUUUAUGGAUUAAUUGAAUAAACAACACCUCUUUGUACUUUUUGGCACACUGGGAUCCUGAGUGGUGAGAACUGACAGUGGAGUUGGAACCAGCUGAAGAAAGAAAGCAUUUCUCCUAGAUCCAUGUUUAACAAGAAGAAGGAGCGGGCACCAUCCCUUGUCACAUUCUUUGAAAUUAAUCUUUGGAAAGAGAUUCUCAGCCGGAAUUUUGCCUGAGGUUCUUCUUUAGAGAGCUGCUAAGUUAUAGAAAGGUUUAUACUAAGAUGUUUUUAUUUCCUUUUUCCUCGGCGGUAACAAGAAUGAAAAGAUGUGCCUCUGACAGAACACAAGGUGUUGUAUGACUAAUUAGGACACCACACCUCUAUUAGCUUUGGUUAGUCUCACUGGCUCCCAUUAAUUCUAAUAAAUCUGACAUUGCCCAGACUCCUUUCUGCCAGCAUUUAAGGAGGUGAUACGGGAAAGGUGUCCUUUUAAACUUGAGGUGAAUGCCUGUUCCGCCUGUAUCUAAAAACCUACCUUUUAAAUGCAAUGCCCCUGUUGCCAAGGUAGAGGAGACAGGUUCUGUCCAGUGGCCAUUAGGUGGUGCUGCCAACCCACAUUCAGAAGGCCACUUGGAUUCUGCUGCCUUUCCUGUGGUUCUAACGAGAAUAUUACAAGAUUCUUUCACAAAAGGUGAAAGUGGCUGAAAAUUUGCUUUCACCUCUGUGAAACUUUUGAGGUUUAUUUUUUUUUUCUUUCUCAAGAGUAGUUAGCUCUUGCUGUGAGGAGGCAGCUGUCUCAGAAGUGGCUGUCAGAGUAAAAAACAGCCACUGAAAUUUGAAUAGCUCUCUCCACUUCGUGAAGAAGUCUCACAUGUCAGAGUUGCUAGAAGAUAGCAGGGUUGAAGCAGAGAUUACACCAAAGGAGUCUUCAGCAGUGCCGGUCCUGCCUGUGACUUGCCUUGAUUGUCCUCUGAGAGGAAGCCACCCAUAUGCUCUACGACUUCUCAAGUUGCGAAGGCUCCUCUGGGAGCAAUUUUGCCCCCGUCUUUCAACAUUUCCUUCAUGGCUUCAAGAUUAAAAGAUCACGUUCCAAUG
rnacentral:lncRNA from 1 species